UUACGAAGCACUGCUCUUGUUAGGGCUA
rnacentral:sRNA from 1 species